rnacentral:rRNA from 1 species
AGCGAACGUUUGCGGCGGGCCUAACACAUGCAAGUCGAACGGGCUAGCAAUAGUCAGUGGCGCACGGGUGCGUAACACGUGGGUAAUCAACCCUUCAGCUCGGGAUAACGCCUUGAAAGGGGCGCUAAUACCGGAUACGACGCGAGGAGCUUCGGCUGCCCGCGGGAAAGAUUCGCAAGGAUCUCUGAAGGACGAGCCUGCGGCCCAUCAGCUAGUUGGUGAGGUAAGAGCUCACCAAGGCGAAGACGGGUAGCUGGUCUGAGAGGAUGAUCAGCCACACUGGAACUGAGACACGGUCCAGACUCCUACGGGAGGCAGCAGUGGGGAAUAUUGCGCAAUGGGCGAAAGCCUGACGCAGCCACGCCGCGUGAGCGAUGAAGGCCUCGGUC